rnacentral:rRNA from 1 species
GACAGAGGGUGCAAACGUUGUUCGGAAUUACUGGGCGUAAAGCGAGUGUAGGCGGUCUGCUAAGUCGGGUGUGAAAGCCCUGGGCUCAACCCAGGAAGUGCACUCGAAACUGGUAGGCUAGAGUACUGGAGAGGUUGGUGGAAUUCUCGGUGUAGAGGUGAAAUUCGUAGAUAUCGAGAGGAACACCGGUGGCGAAGGCGGCCAUCUGGACCAGCACUGACACUGAGGCACGAAAGCGUGGGGAGCAAACAGG